CGACUCUGGUUUCUCUUCGUUUCGCACUCGCCUUUUACUAAAGACUUCCGUGGAGAGGAACGCUCACGAGUUCAACGUAUUUUUUGGAAGGGCUUUGCUUCUGGCAGAGCC